UCUCUCUCUCCCAUAUUUACAUAUUUAUUUAUGUAACCUUUUUCUCAUGGCUUUUAAAAUCUGAAUAUAGGUGCCCAGGCUAUAAGUUGACGUCAUCCCUUCAUUCUUAUGUUGUUCUGUGCACACCAAGUCUCUUCUACACUGAUACAUCACAGUGUAGAAGAGAGAGAUGUAGAGUUCACAGAUGUCUUCAAGUGAGCUCGGCUUCUCUCCAGCCGCCCAUAGUGGCUCUGUGCCGUCAGUCCAAUAUCCAUUCCAUGAAUUAGGUCACUGUUAGAUCCAAUCUCUAAUUAUUUUAUCUAUUCAAUAAAUGAUGUUCCUCUCAGGAAAGUGAAGAUACCACCCAAAGAGAUGAGCUGAGAGAAGAACCUCUCACACUGCCACAGGAAAGUGAUGAAGAUGAUAGCCAGAGAGAAGAGGAGAGAGCAGAACCUCUCACAGUACCACAGGAAAACAAUGAAGGUGGCAGCCAAAGACAAGAACAAAGAGCAGAAUCUUUCACAAUGGUGCAGGACAAUGUCCCUCAAGAAGUUGAUGAUGUCCACUCCUCCCAUGGACUAACAGAAGAGCAAAGCAUCAUCUCGAUUCUCUCCUUUAGAUUGAGACACAACACAACAGGUGUAUUAAUGGAAGACCUGCUGAAACUGCUCAAAUUGCAUUCUGCUCGGACUAGUGCAGUUCCAACAAGCAAGUAUUUUCUGGAGAAACCAUUAGCUGGUAUUACACAUCAGUUUGAACGACACCAUUACUGUAGAGUUUGUACUAAGUACAUUGGUUCUUCACAAUCUCUGGAAGAAACACUCAAAUGUGUGUCAUGUUCCUCAUUCAUGACAGUGAAAGCCAGUUUACAGGAAAGACAUUUCUUUAUUCACAUACCAUUGAAGGAUCAGCUGAAAGACAUUCUUGAGAACCAGGGUAUGCAUGAUCUAUGUUUUUGUGCUGAUGCCGGUACAAAGCAUGUAAUAAAUGACAUAUGUGAUGGCACCUUAUAUCAGACUU